GCCCGUAUAGCUCAGUGGUAGAGCGCAUCACUCGUAUUGCCAUGUUGCGACAUGAUGAGGUCCGCGGUUCAAUCCCGCGUGGGGGCA
rnacentral:tRNA from 1 species